rnacentral:lncRNA from 1 species
AUGCUUGUGAACCACUUUCUGAAAAACAAGGAGCAGCACUGUUGCAGUGAGACUGGGCAAGGUGGACCCUCCAGAAGUAACAGAACAGCAGGACCUUACACUCCAUCUGCUGCAUGUGCUGGUAUCAAAGAACAGUUUUGGAGGUCUGGAUCUGUGCUCAGACAAAAGGGAAAAACUUCAUUGGAGCUUACGUGAUCUGAAAUGAACAAUGUAAUUAUCUAGAUGUAAAAUAAAGAUCACUUUCUGCUGUUACCUAUUUUUAAACACUUCCAUCAACAGGGAGCCAUCCACAAGUUCCCAUUCUAAGAAGAAAUGAAAUGCAAAAAAUAAGCAUAAAGAUGACAAUGCAAGAUGAAAAAUUAGGAUGAAGUAUAUUGACAAGACUAUAUGGAUUAGACUGUACAUCAAAGAUUCUACCCACAGUAAUUCUGCAGUACCCAAUGAGCAGACAAAAAUGUAACCAACACCUAUAUCGACCUGCUGGUCAUCACAUACUUUCCCCAAAGCUGCAGUAACUGCUGAAAUCACAGCUUUGGAGAUAGCAUGUCAUACGCAAUUGUGUCCUUUCACACUACACGAGCUGUCCUGUCACAUCAGAUCUGAAGAAAUUUAAGGAAUUUUCAACCUUCAGAUUGCAAAUUUGCCAUAUUGGAGUUGUUUCUAUUAACAACAAGCUGUUUAAUUAUCUAUUAGGUAUCACAGCACAGAGUUCAGUGCAGGUUUAGAAAAUAACUGCCUUCUUAACAGACCCUGUUAAUUUUCCUUUUGUGAGUAGCAGCUGGAAAACGUUCCGCCAUGUAUUCAGAAGUCCCCAAAUGACAAGAUGUGUUCUAUCAGGUCAGACAGGCUGCUCCUGCUUUUCAGCUAACCUGUCAUGAAAAAUGCAUGAGCCUUCAAAAAGGAGAAAUCACCGCAGAUGAUGAAAGGCAUUGCAUCCAACAAGUAUGAACUUCAGAUCAGAUUUUAAGGUCUGUACUAUAAUUCCAGUAUUAGUUUGUCACUAAACAUGUUUUCUACAACAGACUCCCACGAGCCUGAUAGACUUGGCCUAAAUUGCCAAGCUUUUUAGAACAAAUUUCUGGAGGUAACACAAACAUUGUUCUACUCAGCAACACAAGUAACUGAAGAAUUCAACUCUUCAAAACUAGUGUAAGUAUUUAUUUG